rnacentral:rRNA from 1 species
AACGAACGCUGGCGGCAUGGAUUAGGCAUGCAAGUUGAACGAACUCCUUCGGGAGUGAGUAGCGGAAGGGUGAGGAACGCGUGAGUAAUCUGCCCCUCAGUUGGGAAUAACAGUUGGAAACGACUGCUAAUACCGAAUGUGGCUAAGGUCCUGCAUGGGAUUUUGGCUAAAGAUUUAUCGCUGAGGGAUGAGCUCGCGUCCCAUUAGCUAGUUGGUGAGGUAACGGCUCGCCAAGGCGACGAUGGGUAGCUGGUCUGAGAGGAUGGUCAGCCACACUGGGACUGAGACACCGCCCAGACUCCUACGGGAGGCUGCAGUCGAGAAUCUUGGGCAAUGCGCGAAAGCGUGACCCAGCAAUGCCGCGUGUAUGAUGAAGGCCCUCGGGUCGUAAAGUACUGUCUCCCGUGACGAAAUAUGACGGUAACGGGGAAGGAAGCUACGGCUAACUACGUGCCAGCAGCCGCGGUAAUACGUAGGUGGCGAGCGUUGUUCGGAUUUAUUGGGCGUAAAGGGUCUGUAGGAGGUUUGCUAAAUACGAGGUGAAAUCCCGAAGCUCAACUUCGGAAUUGCCUUGUAGACUGGCGGACUAGAGUACCGGAGAGGUAAGCGGAAUACCAGGUGUAGCGGUGGAAUGCGUAGAUAUCUGGUAGAACACCAAAAGCGAAGGCAGCUUGCUGGACGGAAACUGACUCUGAAAGACGAAAGCAUGGGGAGCAAACAGGAUUAGAUACCCUGGUAGUCCAUGCCGUAAACGUUG